CUGAAAUCUCUCUGGGUACCAUCAGAAGGGCUGGAUUUCUCCUUGAUUUCAUCCUACCUUUUAGGGUGAUCAGUACCAGCCAGAUUCCUCUUUCUACUGACACAACUGGAAAGGGGGAUCCUGGGUCUGGUUGGUGGAGACUCUGUGUCCUGGUUUCCAUGGUUACUGGAGCCAGCUGAAUGUCCAGGUUCUGCCCCGAGUCCACACUGUAUACCCUGCUGCUUUCUGAAAAAGCCAGAAAUAAUCAUUUGGGUGGCACCAGGUAGUGUAGCAUAGUCACAGCAUCAUGAAGACAAAGACCUGGACAUCUUUGGGAGCCAUUAUUCUGCCAACCAUGGACUCUGAGCUCUGAAGGCAGAAAGAACAUCUUAUUCCUGCUGGAUUUCAGUCUCCAGGACAUGGGAUUGAACUCAGGUCCUUGCGCUUGCGACGCAGGCAGCGGAAGCACUGAACUAAAUCCUUG
rnacentral:lncRNA from 1 species